AUCAGUUCUGCAAAGGCAACGAAUUAGCUGAUGUCGGCUAGAUAAUCAAAGACAAUAUUGCCAUGUAAUUGUCAUCGGACAAACCAGAACAAUUUCAAAGCCAGUUCAGAACUUCUAUACAUAAUUUUUGCAGAGAUGAGCGGGCUGCAACCUUUGAGUCUCCAAUCAGGCAAGCGGCAGAUCCUUUAAUUCAUCAUUCCUAUUUCACAGAAGGGCGCAAUUCAAUGUCUCAAUGCCCUAGAGUCUGAUGAGGCUCAAUAGUCACAGCCGACUCUUGCUGGAUGGCGAAAAGGAUGGUGGUUUCCUUUUUCUCUUUUAAUUUUUUGUUAUUUUUAAAAUAAAAUUGCUUUGAAAGGACAAGCUUGCAUUCUAUUUUAUUAUUUAAUAUUUUUAAAGGAACGAUUGUUUGAGAAAAUUCAUCAAAAGUUGAGGGUCACUUUGUUAACUACUAAAACUUGAGCAUGAAUUGGUUAUUGGCUUA